rnacentral:rRNA from 1 species
UAGGGAAUCUUCGGCAAUGGACGAAAGUCCGACCGAGCAACGCCGCGUGAGUGAAGAAGGUUUUCGGAUCGUAAAACUCUGUUGUUAGAGAAGAACAAGGACGUUAGUAACUGAACGUCCCCUGACGGUAUCUAACCAGAAAGCCACGGCUAACUACGUGCCAGCAGCCGCGGUAAUACGUAGGUGGCAAGCGUUGUCCGGAUUUAUUGGGCGUAAAGCGAGCGCAGGCGGUUUCUUAUGUUUGAUGUGAAAGCCCCCGGCUCAACCGGGGAGGGUCAUUGGAAACUGGGAGGAUUGAGUGCAAGAGAGGGGAGUGGAAUUCCAUGUGUAGCGGUGAAGUGCGUAGAUAUAUGGAGGAACAGCAGUGGCGAGGGCGGCUCUCUGGUCUGUAACUGACGCUGAGGCUCGAAAGCGUGGGGAGCAAGCAGG